rnacentral:rRNA from 1 species
GCUCAGAUUGAACGCUGGCGGCAGGCCUAACACAUGCAAGUCGAGCGGUAGAGAGGUGCUUGCACCUCUUGAGAGCGGCGGACGGGUGAGUAAUGCCUAGGAAUCUGCCUGGUAGUGGGGGAUAACGCUCGGAAACGGACGCUAAUACCGCAUACGUCCUACGGGAGAAAGCAGGGGACCUUCGGGCCUUGCGCUAUCAGAUGAGCCUAGGUCGGAUUAGCUAGUUGGUGGGUAAUGGCCUCACCAAGGCGACGAUCCGUAACUGGUCUGAGAGGAUGAUCAGUCACACUGGAACUGAGACACGGUCCAGACUCCUACGGGAGGCAGCAGUGGGGAAUAUUGGACAAUGGGCGAAAGCCUGAUCCAGCCAUGCCGCGUGUGUGAAGAAGGUCUUCGGAUUGUAAAGCACUUUAAGUUGGGAGGAAGGGCAUUAACCUAAUACGUUAGUGUUUUGACGUUACCGACAGAAUAAGCACCGGCUAACUCUGUGCCAGCAGCCGCGGUAAUACAGAGGGUGCAAGCGUUAAUCGGAAUUACUGGGCGUAAAGCGCGCGUAGGUGGUUUGUUAAGUUGGAUGUGAAAGCCCCGGGCUCAACCUGGGAACUGCAUUCAAAACUGACAAGCUAGAGUAUGGUAGAGGGUGGUGGAAUUUCCUGUGUAGCGGUGAAAUGCGUAGAUAUAGGAAGGAACACCAGUGGCGAAGGCGACCA